CUUGUACUCCCUUCAUCCGGAAAUACUUGUCAUUGAAAUGGAUGUAUCUAGAUGUAUUUUAGUUCUAGACACAUCCAUUUUGAUGACAAGUAAUUCCGGACGGAGGGAGUACUUG
rnacentral:pre_miRNA from 1 species